GCCUUACACAUGCAAGUCGAACGGCAGCAUGAUCUAGCUUGCUAGAUUGAUGGCGAGUGGCGAACGGGUGAGUAAUACAUCGGAACGUGCCCUGUAGUGGGGGAUAACUAGUCGAAAGAUUAGCUAAUACCGCAUACGACCUGAGGGUGAAAGUGGGGGACCGCAAGGCCUCAUGCUAUAGGAGCGGCCGAUGUCUGAUUAGCUAGUUGGUGAGGUAAAGGCUCACCAAGGCGACGAUCAGUAGCUGGUCUGAGAGGACGAUCAGCCACACUGGGACUGAGACACGGCCCAGACUCCUACGGGAGGCAGCAGUGGGGAAUUUUGGACAAUGGGGGCAACCCUGAUCCAGCAAUGCCGCGUGUGUGAGGAAGGCCUUCGGGUUGUAAAGCACUUUUGUCCGGAAAGAAAUCGCACUUACUAAUAUUAGGUGUGGAUGACGGUACCGGAAGAAUAAGGACCGGCUAACUACGUGCCAGCAGCCGCGGUAAUACGUAGGGUCCAAGCGUUAAUCGGAAUUACUGGGCGUAAAGCGUGCGCAGGCGGUUGUGCAAGACCGAUGUGAAAUCCCCGGGCUUAACCUGGGAAUUGCAUUGGUGACUGCACGGCUAGAGUGUGUCA
rnacentral:rRNA from 1 species